AUUGAACGCUAACGGCGUGCUUAACACAUGCAAGUCGAGCGGCAGCAUGACUGUAGCAAUACAGUUGAUGGCGAGCGGCGGACGGGUGAGUAAUGCAUAGGAAUCUGCCUUGUAGUGGGGGAUAACCCGGGGAAACUCGGGCUAAUACCGCAUAAUCUCUACGGAGCAAAGUGGGGGACCUUCGGGCCCUACGCUAAAAGAUGAGCCUAUGUUGGAUUAGCUAGUUGGUAGGGUAAAGGCCUACCAAGGCAACGAUCCAUAGCUGGUCUGAGAAGAGGAUCGACCACACUUGGACUGAGACACGGCCCAGACUCCUACGGGAGGCAGCAAUGGGGAAUAUUGGACAAUGGGCGAAAGCCUGAUCCAGCAACGCCGUGUGUGUGAAGAUGGCCUUCGGGUUAUAAAGCACUUUUAGUGGGGAAGAAAAGUUCAUGUCUAAUAUCCAUGAAUGCUAACGUUACCCACAGAAAAAGCACUGGCCAACUCUGUGCCAGCAGCCGCCGCCG
rnacentral:rRNA from 1 species